rnacentral:rRNA from 1 species
CGUAGGGUGCAAGCGUUAAUCGGAAUUACUGGGCGUAAAGCGUGCGCAGGCGGUUAUGCAAGACAGAUGUGAAAUCCCCGGGCUUAACCUGGGAACUGCAUUUGUGACUGCAUAGCUGGAGUACGGCAGAGGGGGAUGGAAUUCCGCGUGUAGCAGUGAAAUGCGUAGAUAUGCGGAGGAACACCGAUGGCGAAGGCAGUCCCCUGGGCCUGUACUGACGCUCAUGCACGAAAGCGUGGGGAGCAAACAGGAUUAGAUACCCUGGUAGUCCACGCCCUAAACGAUGUCAACUGGUUGUUGGGAGGGUUUCUUCUCAGUAACGUAGCUAACGCGUGGAGUUGACCGCCUGGGGAGUACGGCCGCAAGGUUG